rnacentral:misc_RNA from 1 species
GAAUUUUAGCGCAUCUGUUUAUUCAGAGCGUGACCCUCCACUCUUAUAACAUUGUGCACUUAUUGGCGGAAGCAAAAAUAAUAAUUAAUACUUGCUAUUAAUUAUUGGAUUUACUUCUGCGGCUCACUUUUAAACAUUUAGUUAAAGUAUGUAUUACGAAAUAUCGAAAAACAAAACAAAACUUUCAACAACGGAUCUCUUGGCUCU